rnacentral:rRNA from 1 species
AGCGAACGCUGGCGGCAGGCCUAACACAUGCAAGUCGAACGGUCCUUCGGGAUAGUGGCGGACGGGUGAGUAACACGUGGGAACGUGCCCUUUGGUUCGGAACAACUCAGGGAAACUUGAGCUAAUACCGAAUGUGCCCUUCGGGGGAAAGAUUUAUCGCCAUUGGAGCGGCCCGCGUCUGAUUAGCUAGUUGGUGAGGUAAAGGCUCACCAAGGCGACGAUCAGUAGCUGGUCUGAGAGGAUGAUCAGCCACAUUGGGACUGAGACACGGCCCAAACUCCUACGGGAGGCAGCAGUGGGGAAUCUUGCGCAAUGGGCGAAAGCCUGACGCAGCCAUGCCGCGUGAAUGAUGAAGGUCUUAGGAUUGUAAAAUUCUUUCACCGGGGGCGAUAAUGACGGUACCCGGAGAAGAAGCCCCGGCUAACUUCGUGCCAGCCGCCGCCGUAAAAC